CCAUGCCGCGUGUCUGAAGAAGGCCUUCGGGUUGUAAAGGACUUUUGUCAGGGAGCAAAACUUACUGGUUAAUACCUGGUGAGGUUGAGAGUACCUGAAGAAUAAGCACCGGCUAACUACGUGCCAGCAGCCGCGGUAAUACGUAGGGUGCAAGCGUUAAUCGGAAUUACUGGGCGUAAAGCGUGCGCAGGCGGACUUUUAAGCCAGAUGUGAAAGCCCCGAGCUUAACUUGGGAAUUGCGUUUGGAACUGGGAGUCUAGAGUCUGUCAGAGGGGGAUGGAAUUCCACGUGUAGCAGUGAAAUGCGUAGAGAUGUGGAGGAACACCGAUGGCGAAGGCAGUCCCCUGGGAUAAGACUGACGCUCAUGCACGAAAGCGUGGGGAGCAAACAGGAUUAGAUACCCUGGUAGUCCACGCCCUAAACGAUGUCUACUAGUUGUUGGGGUAGCAAUACCUCAGUGACGCAGCUAACGCGUGAAGUAGACCGCCUGGGGAGUACGGUCGCAAGAUUAAAACUCAAAGGAAUUGACGGGGG
rnacentral:rRNA from 1 species